rnacentral:tRNA from 1 species
GAGGGUAUAGUUCAGUGGUCGAGUGUGUGCUUAGCACCCAUGAAGUCCUAGGUUCAAUCCCCAGUACCUCCA